rnacentral:lncRNA from 1 species
GUACUAUUUCGUGGACCGGAGCGUGAUCUAAGGGCCGAGGAGGCUUCCGGUCUUGAUCCGACGGUCCAGGAGGUUUUUUGGCUUUGUUUAGGACUCCUAAUCCCUCUCUAAUCAAGUUUUAAACUAGGUUUAAGCCUUUAAAAGGCCCUGUGAGGUAACAGAGAGGGUGUGGGUUCGGUUUCUCGCCGCCGUACGAACCAGAGGAGAGAGAGAGGCUAGGGCGCUGAGAGAGAAGGAGCAGGAGGCUCCUGGACAGCGGUUGCCAGGCUCUUCAGGGGUUCAGGGGGGUCUCCAAGAGAGAGAGAGCUUUUGUGAGGAAAACUUUAUGUGAGAGAGAAUUGGGUGUAUAAGGGUUGAGGGUGAGGUCUCCUCUUGUAAAAUUUUCUUUUCAUAAUGAAGUUUGCAUGCCCCGUGGAGGCGAGCCCUUUUGUGGCUGAUCC